rnacentral:rRNA from 1 species
CCUACGGGGGGCAGCAGUGAGGAAUAUUGGUCAAUGGACGAGAGUCUGAACCAGCCAAGUAGCGUGAAGUAUGACUGCCCUAUGGGUUGUAACCUUCUUUUAUAAAGGAAUAAAACGAGGCACGUGUGCCUUUUUGCAUGUACUUUAUGAAUAAGGAUCGGCUAACUCCGUGCCAGCAGCCGCGGUAAUACGGAGGAUCCGAGCGUUAUCCGGAUUUAUUGGGUUUAAAGGGAGCGUAGAUGGGUUGUUAAGUCAGUUGUGAAAGUUUGCGGCUCAACCGUAAAAUUGCAAUUGAUACUGGCAGUCUUGAGUACAGUUGAGGUAAGCGGAAUUCGUGGUGUAGCGGUGAAAUGCUUAGAUAUCACGAAGAACCCCGAUUGCGAAGGCAGCUUACUAAACUGUGACUGACAUUGAUGCUCGAAAGUGUGGGUAUCAAACAGGAUUAGAUACCCGGGUAGUC